CCUACCCUGCUGUGUGCGUGAUGGGCUUCGCGUCUUGAGCCAACGCCACUUUUAAGGGGAUCGAAAAUGCGCAGAGGGGAUGUAGUAGCCGCAUGGCAAGGCAGAGGCCUCGCGAAAAGAUUCCCACCUGCGAAAGCAGGUUCAAGUACACCUGUCCACACGGCACGGCGGGGCCGGC
rnacentral:other from 1 species